UUUUUUAUGGAGAGUUUGAUCCUGGCUCAGGACGAACGCUGGCGGCGUGCUUAACACAUGCAAGUCGAACGGAAAGGCCUAGCUUGCUAGGUACUCGAGUGGCGAACGGGUGAGUAACACGUGGGUGAUCUGCCUCGUACUUCGGGAUAAGCCUGGGAAACUGGGUCUAAUACUGGAUAGGACCAUGCUUUAGUGUGUGUGGUGGAAAGUUUUUUCGGUACGAGAUGAGCCCGCGGCCUAUCAGCUUGUUGGUGGGGUAAUGGCCUACCAAGGCGUCGACGGGUAGCCGGCCUGAGAGGGUGGACGGCCACAUUGGGACUGAGAUACGGCCCAGACUCCUACGGGAGGCAGCAGUGGGGAAUAUUGCACAAUGGGCGCAAGCCUGAUGCAGCGACGCCGCGUGGGGGAUGACGGCCUUCGGGUUGUAAACCUCUUUCGCUAGGGACGAAGCUUUUUGUGACGGUACCUAGAUAAGAAGCACCGGCUAACUACGUGCCAGCAGCCGCGGUAAUACGUAGGGUGCGAGCGUUGUCCGGAAUUACUGGGCGUAAAGAGCUCGUAGGUGGUUUGUCGCGUCGUCUGUGAAAUUCCGGGGCUUAACUUCGGGCGUGCAGGCGAUACGGGCAUAACUUGAGUGCUGUAGGGGAGACUGGAAUUCCUGGUGUAGCGGUGGAAUGCGCAGAUAUCAGGAGGAACACCGAUGGCGAAGGCAGGUCUCUGGGCAGUAACUGACGCUGAGGAGCGAAAGCAUGGGGAGCGAACAGGAUUAGAUACCCUGGUAGUCCAUGCCGUAAACGGUGGGCGCUAGGUGUGAGGGUCUUCCACGACUUUCGUGCCGUAGCUAACGCAUUAAGCGCCCCGCCUGGGGAGUACGGCCGCAAGGCUAAAACUCAAAGGAAUUGACGGGGGCCCGCACAAGCGGCGGAGCAUGUGGAUUAAUUCGAUGCAACGCGAAGAACCUUACCUGGGCUUGACAUAUGCAGGAUCGGCGUAGUGAUACGUUUUCCCUUGUGGUCUGUAUACAGGUGGUGCAUGGUUGUCGUCAGCUCGUGUCGUGAGAUGUUGGGUUAAGUCCCGCAACGAGCGCAACCCUUGUCUUAUGUUGCCAGCACGUGAUGGUGGGGACUCAUGAGAGACUGCCGGGGUUAACUCGGAGGAAGGUGGGGAUGACGUCAAAUCAUCAUGCCCCUUAUGUCCAGGGCUUCACACAUGCUACAAUGGUCGGUACAACGCGCUGCGAGCCUGUGAGGGUGAGCGAAUCGCUGAAAGCCGGCCUCAGUUCGGAUUGGGGUCUGCAACUCGACCCCAUGAAGUCGGAGUCGCUAGUAAUCGCAGAUCAGCAACGCUGCGGUGAAUACGUUCCCGGGCCUUGUACACACCGCCCGUCACGUCAUGAAAGUUGGUAACACCCGAAGCCAGUGGCCUAACCCUUGUGGGGGGAGCUGUCGAAGGUGGGAUCGGCGAUUGGGACGAAGUCGUAACAAGGUAGCCGUACCGGAAGGUGCGGCUGGAUCACCUCCUUUCUAAGGAG
rnacentral:rRNA from 1 species